GUGUUGACAUCUCACAGAAGGGCCUUGCCCGUGCUGCUAAGAUGCUACGUUUGAAAUUAAACAAGGGACCUUGCAACCUCAAAUCUACUACACUCUAUGAUGGCUCCAUCCUCGAGUUUGAUUCUAGGCUGCAAGACAUUGACGUCGGCACUUGCUUAGAGGUCAUUGAACACAUGGAGGAAGAUCAAGCCUGUCAAUUUGGGAAAACAGUUCUAACCUUGUUCCGCCCGAAACUUCUGAUUAUCUCCACACCAAACU